rnacentral:lncRNA from 1 species
GAAAUGGUAUAAACCGACUGAAAAUGCUUUUCGAUUUCGUAGUUUGUUGCACACGGUAUAGUUUGUGAGUAUGACCUAAAAUCCGCCUGAAACUCCUUUUCAACCUUAUCCCUGAGCGCUCGUUCGUAUAGUUCUACAAAUUGCUUCAGCGAGGUCUUGGAAUGGACAUAACCAUCGAAGAAUGCAUUCAUACUCUCGCUGUGUUGAGUUGUGGACAUCCCUACCCAAAACGUGGUUUUCAAAAAGUAGGGAACCCAACGAGCUCUAUUAACAUACAACCCCGACAACCAUUCGUUAUCCAUCAAGUCAUAUUUCUCGAUCAUCUGUUUCCACGUUGAUUCAAAUUCUUCUAUAUUCUAUGAAUCAUAUACCAACUGAUGUAUCAUCAAAAAUAUUGCAGCCUUAUUUACAUGGUAUCCGAACUUCUCCGGCAAUUUUUUCAAAAUGUGCCAUAGACACCACCUAUGUCUGGUAUCUGGGAACACGAUCUCAAUAGCAUUUUGCAUAGUCCUAUCUUGAUCAGUAAUUAUUCCACAGGGGGCUCUACCAUGCAUGCACUGAAGCCACGUCCUAAAUAGCCAAACAAAGGUAUCUGUGUCCUCGUUUGAUAACAACCCACAACCGAACAAUAUUGAUUGACCGUGAUGAUUCACACCAACGAAGGGCACGAACGGCAUGUCAUACUUAUUUGUUAGAUAAGUGGUGUCAAAUGUGACUACGUCACCAAACUCCAUGUAAGCUUGUCUACACCUAUUAUCGAACCAAAACACAUUUUCAGGCGAGACUCAUCGUCCACAUCAAUACUGAAGUAAAAACCCGAGCAUUGUGCUUGCAUUUUUGAAAAAUAACACUGUAUUGCGGCCGCAUCUCCCUCCCCUAGUCGUAAUCGUCUCACCUGCUCAAUAUAAUUGCGACAGUCCCUUUCCACACACGUCGUGUUCUCAUAUCCCCCUGCUUCAACAACCGCUGAGUUGAAACUUUUGUGCAACGGAAUUCCUGCGAAGUCAUUCACUUCAAGUUUUCGUUUCACAUUUGCACUCAACUCUCUAUUGCAGCGAUACAACCUAGACUUGGAAGGGCUAGUUCUAUGAUUAUGCUCAAGGUGGACUGUAUUAAUUCUCCACAUGCCAUGACUAUAUGAAGAACCAGAGAUCCUUGCUUUACAAUUCGUCUAACUGAUUGGUUGUGGAUUUAAAGAGUCGCUUGCAUCAGUCGUUCUCUGACCUUCAAGACUAUAUGUCAAGGUCACAUAUUUCAACAAUUCAUCAUCCCCCUUCUUCGAGUUUCUUCUUCGGACUGGAAAACCGACAUCAUAAGCAUAUCUCUUAUAGAAGUCAACCAAUUGUUUCUCGUCAUUGAACAUCAUACCCACCUUCGGCAAGAUCGGCCCAUUGUGUCCCAAUGUUUCUUCUUCCACCCUGAUGGCAUUCUCUGCAAAACUGUCAUUAUCUAGUGCCGAAACAAGUUCAUCAGUCCCAUGUUCCAUACUUCCUAUGUUGUAAGAAAAUAAGAUGUAAUGUAGGUCAUCACAUAAACUCUAGUAUGUG